UACAGAGGGUGCAAGCGUUGCUCGGAAUCAUUGGGCGUAAAGGGUAGGUAGGUGGUCUCAUUUGUCUGGGGUGAAAGCCUUGAGCUUAACUCAAGAAGUGCCCCGGAAACGGUGAGACUGGAGUCUUGGAGAGGGUCGUGGAAUUCCCGGUGUAGCGGUGAAAUGCGUAGAGAUCGGGAGGAACACCAGAGGCGAAGGCGGCGACCUGGACAAGCACUGACACUGAACUACGAAAGCGUGGGGAGCAAACAGG
rnacentral:rRNA from 1 species